GGAGCACAACGUCGAAAGCAGCCGUUGGGAGCCCAGGAGGCGGGGCGCCUGUGGGAGCCGUGGAGGGAACUUUCCCAGUCCCCGAGGCGGAUCCGGUGUUGCAUCCUUGGAGCGAGCUGAGAGCUCGAGUACAGAACCUGCUAAGGCCAUCAAACCUAUUGAUCGGAAGUCAGUCCAUCAGAUUUGCUCUGGGCCGGUGGUACCGAGUCUAAGCACUGCGGUGAAGGAGUUAGUAGAAAACAGUCUGGAUGCUGGUGCCACUAAUAUUGAUCUAAAGCUUAAGGACUAUGGAGUGGAUCUCAUUGAAGUUUCAGGCAAUGGAUGUGGGGUAGAAGAAGAAAACUUCGAAGGCUUAACUCUGAAACAUCACACAUCUAAGAUUCAAGAGUUUGCCGACCUACCUCAGGACUCCUAGAAGUACCCCACCCCACCCCUGCUCCUUGGAGGACAACGUGAUCACUGUAUUCAGCUCUGUCAAGAAUGGUCCAGGUUCUUCUAGAUGAUCUGCACAAAUGGCUCCUCUCCUCCUUCCUGAUGUCUGCCAUUAGCACUGGAAUAAAGUUCCUGCUGAAAAUCCA
rnacentral:lncRNA from 1 species